rnacentral:lncRNA from 1 species
AAAACUCAAAAAUUUAGAUUAAAAAACUUAUUUCAGAAUGAUUAUUUUGUUGAGUAACAUUCAACUUUUGAACCAAAUUUUCACUGUUCAAACAUACAUUUAUUGAAUUCUAUUUAUGUAUACAUAAUGUCUAAAUUUAAUCUCUUAGAUAUUAGCCAAAGAAUGGAAAAUCUGUAAAGAAAUUUAAAAGCUAAAUUUCAAUUCAAAAGAGAUGCGAUAAGACCAUGUGCCGAUAAUUAAAAUCUAUUUUUGUCUUCUUUUUGUUUAGUUUUGUAAAACUGAUGAAUCUCAUAGCAGAUAUUUUAAGUUUUGCACAAGUCCAAAAAUCAACAUCUUGAAAUUGUCAUGAUUAUUUUUUGUUAUGUUUAUUCAAUAACAUAAACUGCAAAUAAAAAAAAUAAAAAUCCUGUGUAAUUUUUUAAUUUUAUUUUGAGAGUGAUCAAUGCAAUAAUUUCAUAUACAUAGUAAAAAUAAUACGUUCAAUGCAUGUUUCAAUCAAUAAUGUUUUGAAAGCCUGUCAAAAACAUUACAAAAAAUAUGAUGUUUGAAAUUAUAAAUUAAAUUUUUAAUUUUUUGAUUAAAAGUGAUAUUUUGCCUCUGAUUAGCAGAAAGUUAAUUUGGUUGUAAUAUGCAGUCUAUAAAGAAUAAGAUUUUUAAGGUUUUAGCAUUAAUGUUAAAUUGUAAUAAACUUAAAUUCUAAAAUUGAUAUUAUAUAUAUAUAUAUAUAUAUAUAUUUCUACAACUGUGACAGUUUUUGCUAUUACAACCCAUAUUGUUUUAGUUUCUUUUAACACCAAUAAAUUUUUGUUGUUAAUAUUUUCAAUAAGAUUUUUUUCCCUCUUUUUCUUCAAAUAAUAUAGAAAGUAUUUUUUUUUUGAAAAGUUUAUAUAAUAAUAAUAAUUCAUUUUACUAAGAAUAAGAUUAAAAUUAUUCUUAUUUUUAAAAACUAUUAUGAAUAUAAAUAUGUAAACACAUAACUACAAAAUAUAAAUUCAACCUUAUAUUUUUAAAAUAUUAUUUUUUAUUUAGCAUUGACAAAGGAAGAUGGGUGGCAUGUGGUGGAUGGCAAAUUGUGGUGGUAGUAGCAAUCCUCUAUACACACAAUGAAAACAUAUGUUAUUAUUUGGGAAUGAGAAAGGUUAUAAAUCUACUCCUAUUACUAUUUCACCAAUUUAACUAUUUAAUUAAAAUUGAGCCCAAAUACAUUGUAAAACUCUUGAUAUAAGCUAUUCAGAUGAAAAAUCUUGUGAAUUAAAAUAAAAAAAGAUUUUUCAUAAGUCAAACUUCCUAUUCAACUUAAAUUAAGUCAAGAAAUUUCAAUGGAAAAAAAAUUAAUUUUUUUUAUUAAAAUUAUAAAAUACUAAAUCUUUUUAAUUUUAUAUUUAUAUUAUUACUUACAAGUCACAAAUUAAUGGCAAUAAACCUCUUUAGUGUUCUAAAAUUAUAAAUUAAUACCUUGAGAGUUGACAUGCGAGACUUUUAAUACUAGGACAAGUAGUUUUUACUCACAGGAACUCAAAACUGGUUGAAGUCAGCAUUGAGAACAUCAUAAUAUUCUGUGUUAUUGAUUGAUUGACUAUAUUCGAUGGUACCAUAGAAGUUGCUAUUUAAAAAAUACAUAUAUUUGUUUGUGGGUCAGCACAUCUUUGAUAAAGCUUUAUCUAGAAUAGAACCCUCCAUUGACCCAUGGUUCAAAAUAUCCAUAUCUUAGAUUCAACUCUCUUAGUUUUGUUUGUUUGUUUGUUAUGCAAAGAAAAAGUACAAUAAAUUUAAAACAUGUUGACUUUAACAGAUCAGACCUUGAAUCAAGAAGCAAAGAUUGAAAGAAUCUUGCAAUUGCAAUGGCAGCUUAUCAAUGCACAAUUAAAUAUACGCAAGUGUGUAUAUGUAUAAAUAAAUAAAUGGUGAAAGUAUUACACAACAAAUAUAGACAUGGAUGCAUGCAUUCAUGCAUAUAUAAACAAAUGAAGUAAUAAAAGUUGUGUAUGUGUUUUAAAAAUAAUAA